rnacentral:ncRNA from 2 species
AGGUUCACCGAACUGCUGGGACUCUCCGGACGACAAAUCCAUACAUCGAGGCGACGGAAGCCAGGAACCCGGUGCGAAUCCGGGACGGUCCCGCCACUGUUACCGCCGGCCGCCGCCGCGCGGGAGUCAGGAACUGACCCGUCGUCCUCCUGCCAU